CCCCUAGAUGUCCUGGGCCGCACGCGCAAUACAAUGUAAAGUUCAGAAAGCAUAUCCUGUUCCGGAAGGCAAUGGGUAAUCUUUUCAAUAUUUUACGUGUUAGGGAUCGAUCUUUGCAAUUAUAGAUCUUGAACGAGGAAUACCUAGUAAGUGCAGCUCAUCAGGCUGUACUGAUUACGUCCCUGCCCUUUGUACACACCGCCUGUCGCUCCUACCGAUUUCGAGUGGUCCGGUGAAUCUUUUGGAAUUAGAGUGCAAACUCAAACUAAGAUCGAUAAACCUUAUCACUGAGAGGAAGGAGAAGUCGUAACA
rnacentral:rRNA from 1 species